rnacentral:rRNA from 1 species
CACUUUGUGAUUCAUGACUGGGGUGAAGUCGUAACAAGGUAGCCCUAGGGGAACCUGGGGCUGGAUCACCUCCUUA